UACACCAAGAAAUUCAGUAAAAUAUUAUAUUCUGUGUGCAUAUUGAGUAGUAGGAAGUCUUUUUCACCAGUGAGAAUUUAGGAUUAAAAAAUUCCUCUUCAUAACUCAACUUAAUAUCAACCUUCCAUCAUUAUAUUUUUGUGGAAGUCAGAUCUGUUAAUAAUUUCUUUGUAUUUACUCCAUUGCUCUCUAGCUGAUAUAUUGUCAUCCUAUAACCCAAAUGUUAUAAGGAAUUAAUCCAAAGGGUAUAUUUUGUAGGUAUGAAUUCCCUCAUCCCUUCAUCAGCCUACUAUGUCUUCCUCUAACUGAUACUCAAGUGCUUAUUCCAGAAAUAAGCUGAAGAGCAUUCUUUCCUGGUUUCAUACAUCAGCCCAGCAUGUACCUUUAUGCAAUGUCUGAGGUUGUCAAACUGAAAUUUCUGAGAACAAGAUUUGUGUUAGUGCAGUGCAGGAGGGUUUUUUCAGUGUCCUACUCCCUGUAUCAGCAGAGAGUUUGUUAUUAAUUUUUGAUCUGUGUAAAUAUUGUAGUCAAGUAAAGAAAUGAAAGGUUUUCUAUAGCAUAUAAUGGUAGGAAAAGAUAGCCAUAAUUGUUUGUGGAGUAUGUUUGACAGGGUUUAAGUGAUGAGGUGUAGGAGUCUGCCAGUCCAGUGUCUGCCACUCACAUUGAUUUGAUUUUCAAGUGGCACUGGCAGUGUUCUGUGUCACAGACAAAUAGUUUGCAAAGGCAAAUCCAGCUGCAAGGAGUUGAGACAAAGUGUUACAAAGAAAAUGGAUGAAAGAAGGAGGAAGUAAUAGGCCACACAUAAAAGGGAAUCUAAAGAAAAUAAUCCAAAGUGCAUGUUGAUAUCCUUAUUCAGUCCUGUAUUUUAUCGCUGGUGUGCCUGAAGGCUUUAAAACCUAGAUUUGCAGACAGUAAUGACAUUGGGAGCACAGCAAAUCAUAAUGUGUGCUGCAUCUAGAUUCUGUGCAGGCAAAGGCAGGGCAAAAUAUUUCAAAAGAAGCAAAAUCAAACCACAUUUAAAACCCAACUACUGUACAUGACAGUCUUUUAUAGCAUUAAAUAGCACAGUUAACUAGAAUAUUUGGCAAUCUCAUAGGGUAUUUUUAUUCCUGAACCGCCAGAGCAGCAAGAUUGCCCUUCCAAUCGUCCCCCUCCCAGUUAUAUCAUAGAGAAAAUCCAAAUCAGGCUCUGUCAGAGCAUCUACGGUUUAUUCAGUACCUUGCUCAUCUAGUUAAUUCUGACACUAUAGACCUGAUGUUGUCAUAUACCUCUUCCACUGGAUUGUGCACACACAUCUGGAAACAAGCCAGUCUUCCUUGUACAUACACUUAGUAUUCAGAUUUUAUUUAGUAGCAUGACAUAAUAAGGGUACUUGCAAGGUGUAUUUUCUCUGUUUUAAUUGACUCUUAUUUUGUACAGGAAUAGAAGAGAAGCUAUGUUGUUCAGUGCUGGCAAAGGAGAUGUGGCUGUUAAGCUGAGAUGCCAAGACUCUGGCUGCUCUUCAGGGAGAAGUUGUAAAUAAUGACUACUUCCUUGUGAUCUUUAGAUUCUGGAACCUACAUCCUGUCAUGCCUGGCAGCUGUUCCAAGAGCAAAUUCUGUAUUACUCCAUUACUUUCAGAAGGCCAGCAGGGCUGCCCUUGCUUUACACUGAGAACUUUGGACCCCAUGGGAAAGGUGCAAGGAAAUUAAGACAGGAAAGGAGACCGGAGAAGGUAAAACAUGAAAUGGGGAAAAAAAGGAACUUACUAAGUGAAAAGCAGAUGCCAUUGAUCGGUACUUGCUCAGUGGAGAUGAAAAGGAUAAAAGUUUGGGAUCCAUUUGAACACCAGCAUAACAUUGUUCCAGGUUAUGAAGGCUUGUAUCAUACUGUGAUCAGCAAACUCCAGCUGCCAGAGGAAAGGGAAAAGC